UUUAGUGUCCCCGAUCCAGAUAUUUUUGCCUCCCCGACCGGAAGUCUCCUAAACCUCCUUAUCCAAAUUCACUCGAGACCAGAAGUUGCCUAAACCUCCUCAUCCAAAUUCACUCGUUUCUCUUGCUCACUCUCUAAACUCAAACUGGUAUGGCGCUUCUUCGUCUUCACUGUUUCCCUUCAACCUCAUACAUAUCCACUGAACAACGAAAACAGCAGUUGUGUAUAGCCUCUCCUUCAGCUCUUCAUAAACCACGAAAUCAAUUUAUUAUCAAUAAUUUCCCUCUUUCUUCUCAAGCUCACCCAUUUCUGAUUAAGCGCAAGAAAGUUAGUCAUUUUGUUGUCCAUUUCUCUGCCACCACACAAAACCCUGCUGUUGAUUCUUCACUUAAUGUCUCUACUAAAACUACAAAUACUGAAGAAGAAGAAUAUUCCAAAACCAGAGUGCUUGCCCAGAAUGUACCUUGGAAUUCCACCGUUGAGGACAUUCGUUCUUUGUUUGAGAAGCACGGGAAAGUCCUUGAUGUCGAGCUUUCGAUGCAUAAUAAGACCAGGAAUAGAGGUUUGGCUUUUGUUACAAUGGGUACUCCUGAGGAAGCUACUGCUGCUCUCAAUAAUCUUGAAUCAUAUGAAUUUGACGGUCGUACUUUGAAGAUGAAUUAUGCAAAGGUUAAAAAGAAGAAGCCUGCACCACCCAUAAAGCCCAAGCAAGUUCCAACAUUUAACUUAUUUAUAGCAAAUCUGUCAUAUGAAGCCAGGGCUAAUGAUCUUAAGGAGUUUUUCAAUUCAGAAGGCUGGAAUAUAGUUUCCGCUGAAGUUAUUUUUCAUGAUAAUCCAAGAAGGUCCUCUGGCUAUGGAUUUGUCUCCUUUAAAACUAAGAAAGAAGCUGAGGAAGCCCUGUCUACUCUUCAAGGGAAGACCUUUUUUAGAAGACCACUUCGAAUAGCACUGAGCAGACAGUUUGUUAAAUUACAGACAAAAGAGGCUUUGCAGUCUGAUGAUACAUCGGUGGAGUUGAACUCUGGUUCAGAGCAAUAGACAUAUCCAAUGAAAACUGAAAAUGAAAUUUUUUGAGGGCAGCUAAAUUUCUCCUUUUCCUUCUCUUUGUAAUUUUAAGAUAUACUCUUGAAUGCAGUCGAACAAAGUCCUCUUCUGGACUUGAAUGCCAACCCCUCGUGGAAUGCUGGCUGGGAACAUAUUUUGGUCAUGCUGGGACUAACACUUUGCCUCCUAAACAUGCUAAAGUUUAGCUGUGGAAACUCGCUUGACUCAAUACUUUUGGUUCUUUUUCUUCGCACAGAUCUUGUAUUAAAUUAUAACUGCAGCUGUAUUCUCUUGCUGAAUCACAGAGUUUAAACUUUACUAGUCAAUUUAUUACUGUAAACAGUCAGUUGUACAAGGAAGAUAUGUCUGGAUUUGUUGGUCUGUGAAGACCAUUUUAUCGGUAAAUCUAAAUCAUAAAAAUUGAACAA